UACAGAGGUCCCAAGCGUUGUUCGGAUUCACUGGGCGUAAAGGGUGCGCAGGUGGGUUUGCAAGUUCGAUGUGAAAGCCCCGGGCUCAACCUGGGAAUGGCAUUGGAAACUGGCGGACUCGAGUGUGGCAGAGGGGGGUGGAAUUCCGCGUGUAGCAGUGAAAUGCAUAGAGAUGCGGAGGAACACCGAUGGCGAAGGCAGCCCCCUGGGCUAACACUGACGCUCAGGCACGAAAGCGUGGGGAGCAAACAGG
rnacentral:rRNA from 1 species